GGUAGUCCACGCCGUAAACGAUGUCGACUUGGAGGCUGUUCCCCUGAGGAGUGGCUUCCGGAGCUAACGCGUUAAGUCGACCGCCUGGGGAGUACGGCCGCAAGGUUAAAACUCAAAUGAAUUGACGGGGGCCCGCACAAGCGGUGGAGCAUGUGGUUUAAUUCGAUGCAACGCGAAGAACCUUACCUGGCCUUGACAUCCAGAGAACUUAGCAGAGAUGCUUCGGUGCCUUCGGGAACUCUGAGACAGGUGCUGCAUGGCUGUCGUCAGCUCGUGUUGUGAAAUGUUGGGUUAAGUCCCGCAACGAGCGCAACCCUUAUCCUUUGUUGCCAGCGGGUGAUGCCGGGAACUCAAAGGAGACUGCCGGUGAUAAACCGGAGGAAGGUGGGGAUGACGUCAAGUCAUCAUGGCCCUUACGGCCAGGGCUACACACGUGCUACAAUGGCGCAUACAAAGAGAAGCGACCUCGCGAGAGCAAGCGGACCUCAUAAAGUGCGUCGUAGUCCGGAUCGGAGUCUGCAACUCGACUCCGUGAAGUCGGAAUCGCUAGUAAUCGUAGAUCAGAAUGCUACGGUGAAUACGUUCCCGGGCCUUGUACACACCGCCCGUCACACCAUGGGAGUGGGUUGCAAAAGAAGUAGGUAGCUUAACCUCCGGGAGGGCGCUUACCACUUUGUGAUUCAUGACUGGGGUGAAGUCGUAACAAGGUAACC
rnacentral:rRNA from 1 species